rnacentral:piRNA from 1 species
UAACGGUUUGAGCGAACUCUCUCGCUGAA